GACAGUGCUCUGACUCCGUAACGCUACUGGAGUUGAUGUUCGGUGAUUUUGGGCGCGAGCCGUCGACCGCUGUUCGCCAUUGCAGGCAUGACAAGAAGGAGUUCUGGUGAUGAUACGGGCAGCUGGAUUCUGGACCAAUUGAAGUUUAUGAAGACACUUGAGGGGAAGACCAAAGAGGAUAGAACUGCAGUAGUCAACACGGG